rnacentral:rRNA from 1 species
AACGUAGGAGACAAACGUUAUCCGGAGUUACUGGGCGUAAAGGGCGUGUAGGCGGUUAGUUAAGUCUGGCGUGAAAGCUCUCGGCUAAACCGGGAGAGGUCGUCGGAUACUGGCAAACUAGAGGACGGUAGAGGCGUGUGGAAUUCCGGGUGUAGUGGUGAAAUGCGUAGAGAUCCGGAGGAACACCAGUGGCGAAGGCGACACGCUGGGCCGUACCUGACACUGAUGCGCGACAGCAUGGGGAGCAAACAGG